rnacentral:rRNA from 1 species
GAUCUUAUGUUUUGGGUCCCUUCGUCGGGUUCUCUACGGUUACAGUUUGUUGUGUGCCGUAAUGGUGUCUGCAGCGACAAGGUCACACCCAGUUCGAGUACUGAAAAAACACCGGCUCCGGUACUACCCUCUGGUCUAUCUAGCAGCCUCUCGUCUCACUUCUUCUGUGGUGUGCGGCGCAUGUGCUGCUGGUCGAAUGGAAGGAGGUGAUCUUUACGCCGUCGUUCGUAUGGGUGGUGUACUGUACUACACUCCAAAGAGGACAGCGGGAGAGUGAGGUCUGAGGUUUGACUUGGGCAUCACUGCUUAAAAGAAACGCGCACGUCGUGGCAGCACACUCUGAACCUAAGACGAGAGGCCGGCCAGCAGAUGACCGGCCGGUAGACACGAUACCAGAUACGGCUGGAACUACAGAAAAUAGGUAUAGUGAACAGGGUAAUUGAGGUGUCAAACUGUAGAACGUAGAUAUAGAUACUGUGUAAAAGUGGGAGCCGUGUUCGUCUCUACUUCCUCCGUCGGAUUACCGAUACGCGAUGUAGGGGUAGAAGAAGGAGGAUAAGAACUCAAGUAAGACGUUUAGACUACUAGUUGAGUGUGUUCGUUUCGGUGAGUGGGUGCCGGUGUGAGAGUAGAGGCUUUGGCCUCUAAAGCGAGAACCGAAGAAGAGGGGCUGCUGGAGGUUGUCCUCGAAAAUGGAACCGUAUACCAUGGUAUCGGAGGGGCCUGGUGCCUGACAACACACCCAGCGGUUAGCUCUGUUGGGUUAGUGGUUGGGAAGCAGGCCCUGCGAAUGGCAGUGGUCGUUAAGUAGUAACCAUAAUAGACUGAGGUCACCGGCGUUAUAUACCUACUGUCGUUCGUUAUAUGGGCGAUCUCAAAGGUCUCGAGUACGUCACGAUGAGUUGAGCCCCUUGAAACAAGAGGCCAGCGGCUUACCACGCCUGUAUACCGUCUCGAAACUAGUGGGCUGGCUGUGUUACGAAGGUUGUUACUCUAAAAACCGUUCGAUGUUCCGUGUUCAACAGCCCGCCAAGUAACGAACCUUCCCUGGCGUACUGGGCAGGAGGCCCUUGAAGAGGAAUUCAUCGCUGGGGUCGAGCGGUUGGGGAGUCGAGUAGUAAACCGUACCCUGGUUCGGUAUGACGGCGUGGUGACACAACUUACUUCGAAGCCACUAAAUGCCCCCCUGUAUGGACUCGUUGUGGCCUAGACAUAACAUACUUCGCUUGUAGUUGAGAUCUCCACUCAUGAUGUAGUACAAGUGUUAGAGACUCUUGAGCGGUAAGUGUGCGUAGUGUGAACUGAUGUCACCGUUCAGGGUUAAAGAUUCGACCUUGUUAGUCAGUAGAAGUACCCGUGAUUAACCACUUGUGGGGUGACGACGUACGCUGGAGAUACGGAACACACCGGGCAAGUCAAUAACACUGAUGUGAGUCUAAUAGGGUCGGACGGUUACAGAACUCCCCAAACUCGGGUAACUACUAUAAUCGAGAAGAUUUCCUACAUUCUCUUUCUUUCACGACUUUACGUCGCUUGGCUCAGUAAAACACAGGAAUGGACCCUACUUCCAAGGUCUGUUCAAGAACGUGUAUGUCUUAUUUUCGAAACUACUCACAUGACGGCUCACGUUGGCGUUGACGAGUACGUGCCGAAUGCGAAUACGGUUGAACUCGUCCCGACCACGAUACCGGCUGAGUAGCUCCACGAACCAAACCAAUCCCCUUGAAUGACUGCGACCCUUUCCUUGGCGACCGCUCUUGGAAAUGAAGGCUGAACGGCUACGAGGACAACUGUUUUUCUAUUCAAGUCAUUUCUAACAUGAGGGCUAACACCGUAAGAACGACGAUGAUUGUACGUAUCGGGAGCAGACCUACAUGUUUACGUCUCCGUUUGCCGUUUCCUCUCUUUUGGUCUUGCGUGAUUACGUUCCUAUGAAAUCAUGUAGGUUGUCUGAGCCUCCGCUUUCAUGUCUUAAAGAUAAACAAUCGAUACUUCUGUAGGAAAGUCGUUGUUUAAAAAAGCGACUAAGCUUGAAUGAACCUGCGCCUCCAAAACCGUUUCAAAUGUUCCCGUGUGACUUUCCACCUUUACUUCAACGACAAUUCUCCGAGUCAUUCCCAAGAUUUGUUCCAUAUCUCCUCAAGUUUUUACUUCAUCAAGACUAACGGUUCGACGUCGUGUUCUUGGAUCAGUCUGAAGAACCUAAAACGUAAGUCCUCCUACUCUUCAACGACUAGAUGCUUAUAAAUGGAUUGUUUUCAAACCUACGGAAAGAAAAACUACGACGUGUUUUUGUACACGAACUAACCGACUGCGCCAAGUUUUAUUAAUUUCCCCAUCGUUCUCCCGAAGAAAUAGAAGUGGUUCUAAGUUCUAAUUGUUAUUAAGUAUCUCUAGAGUUUCGUUCGUUGUAAGAUAACCUAUGGCUUUACUGAGGUUUUUAAAGUCUAAAACCAUACCGUUCUUAGAAACCACGUUUGGUUUUAGUACGUUUGUGUUGGUCCCAGCGACCCUGUAUACCGAUGUACAGUGGACUCAUACGCUAGCCUCCACGGAAAAGUCACUUUAGGCUGUGAAUACCGAAGCCGCAAGAAGACAACCUCUAACAAUCACCCAACUUGUAGUCGAGUGGAGUCGUGUUCUGUUUGAAAACAUCAGACUAUUGAAUACGUACCUCUCAUACCCUUCUACCUUUACGUUGACUCGAUCACCUGAGAAGUUAAAACGGUUCGACGCGUGAAGUCCUUCAAAAUGCCACAUAAGUACACCCUGAGAACACACAAGUUCUGGUAGGGCUACUAUCCGGUGAUUACAGUCGACAAUACAAAUACUAUCUCUUACUUUCACGUGACGAAGGUUGAGGUUUUGUUGGACAUAUAAAAAGAGGUUCAUUCACACUGCUACCUCUUCGUUCCCUGUCGUACUUGAUAAGUCAUUUACAUUACUCAAGGUGUUGCCAUCUUCCGGCAAUCUACAAAUUAUUGUAUCAAACGUGUGUAGGAUCAUAUCGAUCAACAUACGAAGUGUUAAAUGAAAAAUACAUGGCUUGAGAAUGAAUCCACGAACAUUAUAAACACACAAAUAACAUAUUCUUUUCAACACUUAUUGCCUCCGCACCAUUCUACAACUAGAGUAAGACAAUGAGUCCGUACCUCUAAUAUCCUUCUACCUUUGCGUUAACUUGAACACCUGAGAAGUAAACAAUGUUCAACGGGUAAAU